UACGGGGGGGGCAAGCGUUGUUCGGAAUUACUGGGCGUAAAGGGCUUGUAGGCGGCCAACUAAGUCAGACGUGAAAUCCCUCGGCUUAACCGGGGAACUGCGUCUGAUACUGGAUGGCUUGAGAUUGGGAGAGGGAUGCGGAAUUCCAGGUGUAGCGGUGAAAUGCGUAGAUAUCUGGAGGAACACCGGUGGCGAAGGCGGCAUCCUGGACCAAUUCUGACGCUGAGGAGCGAAAGCCAGGGGAGCAAACGGG
rnacentral:rRNA from 1 species